rnacentral:rRNA from 1 species
AAUAGAUACCCUGGUAGUCCACGCCGUAAACGAUGAGUGCUAAGUGUUAGAGGGUUUCCGCCCUUUAGUGCUGCAGCUAACGCAUUAAGCACUCCGCCUGGGGAGUACGGCCGCAAGGCUGAAACUCAAAGGAAUUGACGGGGGCCCGCACAAGCGGUGGAGCAUGUGGUUUAAUUCGAAGCAACGCGAAGAACCUUACCAGGUCUUGACAUCCUCUGCCAACCCUAGAGAUAGGGCGUUCCCCUUCGGGGGACAGAGUGACAGGUGGUGCAUGGUUGUCGUCAGCUCGUGUCGUGAGAUGUUGGGUUAAGUCCCGCAACGAGCGCAACCCUUGAUCUUAGUUGCCAGCAUUUAGUUGAGCACUCUAAGGUGACUGCCGGUGACAAACCGGAGGAGGUGGGGAUGACGUCAAAUCAUCAUGCCCCUUAUGACCUGGGCUACACACGUGCUACAAUGGAUGGUACAAAGAGCUGCGAACCCGCGAGGGUAAGCGAAUCUCAUAAAGCCAUUCUCAGUUCGGAUUGUAGG